UGAGGAAUAUUGGUCAAUGGACGCAAGUCUGAACCAGCCAAGUAGCGUGCAGGAUGACGGCCCUAUGGGUUGUAAACUGCUUUUAUAUGGGGAUAAAGUGGGGAACGUGUUCCCUUUUGCAGGUACCAUAUGAAUAAGGACCGGCUAAUUCCGUGCCAGCAGCCGCGGUAAUACGGAAGGUUCGGGCGUUAUCCGGAUUUAUUGGGUUUAAAGGGAGCGUAGGCCGUUUGGUAAGCGUGUUGUGAAAUGUAGGAGCUCAACUUCUAGAUUGCAGCGCGAACUGUCAGACUUGAGUGCGCACAACGUAGGCGGAAUUCAUGGUGUAGCGGUGAAAUGCUUAGAUAUCAUGAAGAACUCCGAUUGCGAAGGCAGCUUACGGGAUCGAAACUGACGCUGAAGCUCGAAGGUGCGGGUAUCGAACAGG
rnacentral:rRNA from 1 species